CUACGGGCGGCAGCAGUGGGGAAUAUUGCACAGUGGGCGCAAGCCUGAUGCAGCCAUGCCGCGUGUAUGAAGAAGGCCUUCGGGUUGUAAAGUACUUUCAGCGGGGAGGAAGGGAGUAAAGUUAAUACCUUUGCUCAUUGACGUUACCCGCAGAAGAAGCACCGGCUAACUCCGUGCCAGCAGCCGCGGUAAUACGGAGGGUGCAAGCGUUAAUCGGAAUUACUGGGCGUAAAGCGCACGCAGGCGGUUUGUUAAGUCAGAUGUGAAAUCCCCGGGCUCAACCUGGGAACUGCAUCUGAUACUGACAAGCUUGAGUCUCGUAGAGGGGGGUAGAAUUCCAGGUGUAGCGGUGAAAUGCGUAGAGAUCUGGAGGAAUACCGGUGGCGAAGGCGGCCCCCUGGACGAAGACUGACGCUCAGGUGCGAAAGCGUGGGGAGCAAACAGGAUUAGAUACCCUUGUAGUC
rnacentral:rRNA from 1 species